rnacentral:tRNA from 1 species
CGGAUAGAAGCCCGCUGGUUUGGGUGUUUAGCUGUUAACUAAAAUUUUGUAGGAUCAAGGCCUGCCUAUCUAG